rnacentral:lncRNA from 1 species
AAAGGUAAUUGGCGAAAAACGUCCCUACCUUUCAGCUUAAUUGUGGAAAACGUCCCCACCUUUCAUUUUUUGGCAUUUUUGCCCUCAAAUCAACAUUUCGUUGCGAUGAAGGUCCUUCCGUCCAAUUGCCAUCCAUUUUGCCGUUAAUUAAAGAGAGAGAACCAAUUUUUUUUCCCACUAAAUAGGGGUAAAACUGUCUCACCAAUUGAAAACCCCCAUUUUCUUAAUUUCCUUCUUCACAAUUCACAGCUCGAAUGGUUCCCAUUCCACUCUCGGUUCUUCAAAAAUUCCCAUUUAUCUUCUAUUUCAACAAUUAUUGCUCCAUUCUCCUCUCGUAUGGUCGCAUACCAGCAGCCAGCAUAUUUGAGAUACAAUUAUUUUGCACAUUUGAAAUGAAUUGUAUCUAUUUUUGCUUCAGUUUUAGGUUAUUUUUGCUUCAGCAAGUAGUGGAUUUUUUGUUUCAAUUUUCGAUUGAUUGGUGGAUAAAUUGUGUCUCAGAUUCUGUGAUAGAAUUGUGUAUUUAGGGACUUUUGAGUUGAUGUGUAUCAACAUGUGGUAUAUGGAAGAAAACAGGGAAUUCUCUCGCCAAAUUUUUUCUAGAAGUCAGGGACGUUAUUUGCAAAUAUUUCUAAAAGGUAGGGACGUUAUUAGCAAAUAUUUCUAAAAGGUAGGGACUUUACUCACCAAACUUUUUAUAGGUAGGGAUGUUUUAAGCCAAAAUUAUAGCCACGUAGGGAUUAUUAGCGCAAGGUUCAUUUGAUUUCCAGAAGAAGUGAAUAGGACCGUUCAUCUUCACCAAUAAGCCAAAAUGGGUCAUUCACCAUAGAACUGAUACAUACUUCACAGUACCCAGUUCCACUCAAUUUCCUCAAUUUACCCCGGGUCAAAAUAAGCAUAAACUAGAAAUAAACAUCUAGUAGUCAUCUCUAUAAAUUGACCACCCAUUCAAUAUAUAUCUUACUAUAUUUUUCCAGAAACCCAACAUAAAAGUAGCAGUGAUGGUCAGAUUUCACCACUAUAUAUGCUCUUUAAUUAACGACAUUUUUCCCUUAUUUAAUGUAAUAAUUUAAAGUAUUUUUACACCCAUUUUUCAGCUACCGUUAUAUAUAUGAACUACAUAGAAGGCGGGAAUAAGGGGUUCAAUGGGUGAGACGAUUUUACCCUUGCUGACUGGACAAAAAUUGGUUCUCUCUCUUUAAUUAACGGCAAAAUGGAUGGCAAUUGGACGGAAGGACCUUCAUCGCAACGAAAGGUUGAUUUGAGGGCAAAAAUGCCAAAAAAUGAAAGGUGGGGACUUUUUCACAAUUAAGCUGAAAGGUAGGGACGUUUUUCGCCAAUUACCCAAACAAUAAAU